UGGGGAAUCUUGGACAAUGGGGGCAACCCUGAUCCAGCCAUGCCGCGUGGACGAUGAAGGCCCUAGGGUUGUAAAGUCCUUUCACCGGUGAAGAUAAUGACGGUAGCAGGUAAAGAAACCCCGGCUAACUCCGUGCCAGCAGCCGCGGUAAUACGGAGGGGGUUAGCGUUGUUCGGAAUUACUGGGCGUAAAGCGCACGUAGGCGGACCAGAAAGUUGGGGGUGAAAUCCCGGGGGCUCAACCCCGGAACUGCCUCCAAAACUAUUGGUCUAGAGUUCGAGAGAGGUGAGUGGAAUUCCAAGUGUAGAGGUGAAAUUCGUAGAUAUUUGGAGGAACACCAGUGGCGAAGGCGGCUCACUGGCUCGAUACUGACGCUGAGGUGCGAAAGUGUGGGGAGCAAACAGGAUUAGAUACCCUGGGUAGUCCACACCGUAAAACGAUGAAUGCCAGUCGUCGGGUAGCAUGCUAUUCGGUGACACACCUACGGAUUAAGCAUUCCGCCUGGGGAGUACGGUCGCAAGAUUAAAACUC
rnacentral:rRNA from 1 species